rnacentral:rRNA from 1 species
ACCGCUCAGUAACACGUAGCUAACCUACCCUCUGGACAGAGACACCCCCGGGAAACUGGGGCUAAUCCCUGAUAGGUAUGGAGGCCUGGAAUGGUUCCACGCCCAAAAGCAUAACGACCAUGUUUGUUAUGUGCCAGAGGAUGGGGCUGCGGCCGAUCAGGCCGUUGGCGAGGUAACGGCUCACCAAACCUUUGACCGGUACGGGCCAUGAGAGUGGUAGCCCGGAGAUGGACACUGAGAUAGGGGUCCAGGCCCUACGGGGCGCAGCAGGCGCGAAAACUCCACACUGUACGUAAGUACGAUGGGGUUACCUCGAGUGCAGUCUGUAAAAGAUUGCUUUUCCAUAGAGUAAUAUCCUGUGGGAAUAAGAGGGGGGCAAGACUGGUGUCAGCCGCCGCGGUAACACCAGCCCCUCGAGUGGUAGGGACUUUUAUUUGGCCUAAAGCGUCCGUAGCCGUCUGUAACCGUUGCCCGUUAAAUCCAGCGUCUCAAGCGUUGGACUGCGGGCGAUACCUUACAGAUUGAGGGUGGGAUAGGUAAGCGGUAUUUCUGGGGUAGGGGCGAAAUCCUUUGAUCCCAGGAGGACCACCAGUGGCGAAGGCUGCUUACUAGAACACGCCUGACGGUCAGGGACGAAAGCUGGGGUAGCGAACCGGAUUAGAUACCCGGGUAGUCCCAGCUGUAAACGAUGCGCGCUAGGUGUUGGGUCGGCCAUGUGCCGCCCCAGUGCCGCAGGGAAGCCGUUAAGCGCGCCGCCUGGGGAGUACGGCCGCAAGGCUGA